GUUGGUGAUGCGUACGUUGGCGCUGGGGGGUGGUACUCAGGCUCAGGCUUUGGUUUGGGCUCAGGCUUAGGCUUCGGUGGCACAGGUUUCUUGUGGAAGUGGUCAAAGAACUUGUGAUAGUCAUGGUCCUUGUGGAAGUGAUCAAGGAAGUGCUUCUUGUCAAACGAUAUUUCUUUCACAACCGGAGGGUGGUAGAUCGGAGUCGGAGACCCGUAUGUGGGUGUCGGGGGGUGGUACUCAGGCUUAGGCUGCGGCUUUGGCUUUGGUGGCACGGGCUUCUUGUGGAAGUGGUCAAAGAUGUGGUGGUAGUCAUGGUGUUUGUGGAAGUCAUCGUGCAAGGGAUUCUUGUCGAACAAGUGCCUGGCAGGAGGGUGGUAGAUUGGUGUAGGUGACCCAUAUGUUGGCGUUGGUGGGUGGUACUCAGGCUCAGGUUGAGGUUUGGGCUCUGGCUUGGGCUUGGGUGGCACAGGCUUCUUGUGGAAGUGGUAAAAAAAGUGGUGGUAGUCAUGGCCUUUAUGAAAGUGAUCAGGCUCAGGCUGCGGCUUAGGCUGCGGCUUGGGCUCCGGCUUUGGCUUUGGUGGCACGGGCUUCUUGUGGAAGUGGUCGAAGAAGUGGUGGUAGUCGUGGUCCUUAUGAAAAUGGUCGAGCAAG
rnacentral:lncRNA from 1 species